CCUACGGGAGGCAGCAGUGGGGAAUCUUGCACAAUGGAGGAAACUCUGAUGCAGCGAUGCCGCGUGAGUGAAGAAGGCCUUUGGGUUGUAAAGCUCUUUUGUAGGGGAAGAUAAUGACUGUACCCUAAGAAUAAGGUCCGGCUAACUUCGUGCCAGCAGCCGCGGUAAUACGAAGGGACCUAGCGUAGUUCGGAAUUACUGGGCGUAAAGCGCGCGUAGGCCGUUGAGUUAGUUAAUUGUGAAAUCCCAAAGCUUAACUUUGGAACUGCAAUUAAACUACUCGACUAGAGUUUGAUAGAGGAAAGCGGAAUACAUAGUGUAGAGGUGAAAUUCGUAGAUAUUAUGUAGAACACCAGUUGCGAAGGCGGCUUUCUGGAUCAACACUGACGCUGAGGCGCGAAAGUAUGGGUAGCAAAGAGGAUUAGAUACCCUCGUAGUCCAUACCAUAAACGAUGAUUGCUAGAUGUUGGAAAUUUAUUUUCAGUAUCGCANACUACNCAUANANAUCGCGNGGNGUACGACGCGAGUAAGUANANAGAUGUGNGUGAGAGUGCGACGACGACGACGAGGAGGAGG
rnacentral:rRNA from 1 species